ACACUGUGUACCCUACAUUGGCAGGCGAGUUCUUUACUGCUAGCACCACCUGGAAAGCCCCAGGGAUCCCAUAGCAGAUCACUAAACGUCCUUCAUCUCAGCACUUUGGACUCAGAUUUCCUGUUUAUCUCUCUGUCUCCCCAAGUAUUUUAGGGCCUCCAUGGUAAUGAGUUAAGUCUUUCUCACCAUUAAAAACCCGAUGCCCAACACAGUGACAAACAUAGAUGUCACUCCAUAUAUUUUAAUGAAAUAAAUGAACCUACUGAUUUAUCAAAAAGCAUAAAAUUUAAUCUGUUUAAAUAUCACUUUUCUAUAUGCACUAUGAGAAAAGAUAGCAGAUAAACUAUUUACAAUGAAUCUUUAGUUACCUGGAUGUGUGCUCUAGAAGAUUCAUUCUAAAAUUAAUACCCAAUAUUAACAUGUUUGCUUGACACUUCUUUUCAGAAAAGAUAAAUGCAGAUUGGGCAAAUGCAGAGCUGGUUAGGCCAAAACCAGCUGGUUAGGCUGCCCUUCAUAAAAAUGAAUAUAAGAUUCUGCUCAUUUGUAUGCUCUGAUUAUUACAAGAGAAGAUGGAUUACAGUCUAUGUCCUUAGAACAAAGAGUGGCAGAAAAUGAGAAAAAGGAACUGUGGAUGGAUCAUGUUAAAGAGAUUCUCCAACCUGGUGAAACUGCAAACUAAAUACGGAAAGCAUCCUCAUAAAGAAAUGGUACCUCCCACCCUCAAGGAUGUGACCAAAGACAGAGUCUGGUGGCAAUGCCACAGCUAGGAGAGAGGGCUCCUAGCUGUGCACGCGUGAGAAGACCUGGGGCAGGAAGUCUGCCUUUGUAGUAAUUGGCUGUGCUGAGGUGAUUAACGACCCUCCAAUCCAAAGAUAUGACGUGUUACAACUGCUUCCAUGCCAUUGGCCAAAACACAUCAUCUGACGAAGCCUGAUAUUAGACUGAAGAAGUGCCUGCCAGCCACACAGAAGCUCUGCAAGUCAUGUGUACGGUGGAAGCUGUGUGGCUUGGAGGUUAAGGACUCGUGCACAUAGAUCUCUGAUUGUGCUGGAUGGGAAUCUGUUUAUUAGCUUGGUGACCUGGUGAGGCACUUCACUUUUCUGAGCCUCAGUUUCUCUGGCAGAGUCCAUUUUCUGAUCACGAAAUAUCAAAGAAAAAUCCACAUGCUUCUCUUAUAUUUAAUCACUUCACCUGCAGUUAAGAUGAGGCCAUUAAGACAGGUUCUGGGCAGUUGGAUAGGAAAUUUCCAGAUAUGGCCCCUAAAAUCGGCCCUGAGACCCUCAGCUUAUUUUCUUCUAUUCUGUAGAGCAAGAAUUGGAGACAAUAUAGAUCUCUGAAUUUCUCUUUGGAGAAGACUCCCACAGGAAAGCUACCCAACCCACCUAAGACUGUGCUGGGGAGACAACUCUAGGUUGGUGUUAAGUCAUUGAAAUCUAUUUUGUUUCUGCACUGAUCAUUCAUCUACAGAAGAGACCAAAGAAUGAAUUGUGUUUUACAAAGGUGAAUUGAGAUAAUUUACACAAAGCAUGGAGACUUCCCAAGUGGUGCUAGUGAUAAAGAAUUGGCCGCCAAGGCAGGAGAUGUAAGAGCUGCAGGUUCCAUCUCUGGGUCUGAAAGAUCCCUCAGAGAAGGGCAUGGCAACC